AUCCGCUAUGGAAGUUCAGACGGAGUCCGAUUCUUGUAGAAGGCUGAAAGGAGGCCGCUUAUUAUAGAAGCUCGAUCGAAGAUCGGUUGUCGUGGGAGCUCGGAGUAGUGACCUGACCGAUGGAGCCUGUCCUGUUGUAGAAACUCGUCUGGGAUCCAUCCACUGUAGGAGCUCGGUUGAAGUCUGCCUGUAAUAGAAGUUCGAAAGAAAUUUAUUUAUUGUAGAAGCUCGGAUGGAAUUUGCUUACAGUAGUGA
rnacentral:lncRNA from 1 species